rnacentral:rRNA from 1 species
GUGAACGCUGGCGGUAGGCCUAACACAUGCAAGUCGAACGGCAGCACCGUAAGAGCUUGCUCUUACGGGUGGCGAGUGGCGGACGGGUGAGGAAUACAUCGGAAUCUACCUUUUCGUGGGGGAUAACGUAGGGAAACUUACGCUAAUACCGCAUACGACCUACGGGUGAAAGCAGGGGAUCUUCGGACCUUGCGCGAUUGAAUGAGCCGAUGUCGGAUUAGCUAGUUGGCGGGGUAAAGGCCCACCAAGGCGACGAUCCGUAGCUGGUCUGAGAGGAUGAUCAGCCACACUGGAACUGAGACACGGUCCAGACUCCUACGGGAGGCAGCAGUGGGGAAUAUUGGACAAUGGGCGCAAGCCUGAUCCAGCCAUACCGCGUGGGUGAAGAAGGCCUUCGGGUUGUAAAGCCCUUUUGUUGGGAAAGAAAAGCAGCAGGUUAAUACCCCGCUGUUCUGACGGUACCCAAAGAAUAAGCACCGGCUAACUUCGUG